GAUGAACGCUGGCGGCGUGCCUAAUACAUGCAAGUCGAGCGAACGGACGAGAAGCUUGCUUCUCUGAUGUUAGCGGCGGACGGGUGAGUAACACGUGGAUAACCUACCUAUAAGACUGGGAUAACUUCGGGAAACCGGAGCUAAUACCGGAUAAUAUUUUGAACCGCAUGGUUCAAAAGUGAAAGACGGUCUUGCUGUCACUUAUAGAUGGAUCCGCGCUGCAUUAGCUAGUUGGUAAGGUAACGGCUUACCAAGGCAACGAUGCAUAGCCGACCUGAGAGGGUGAUCGGCCACACUGGAACUGAGACACGGUCCAGACUCCUACGGGAGGCAGCAGUAGGGAAUCUUCCGCAAUGGGCGAAAGCCUGACGGAGCAACGCCGCGUGAGUGAUGAAGGUCUUCGGAUCGUAAAACUCUGUUAUUAGGGAAGAACAUAUAUGUAAGUAACUGUGCACAUCUUGACGGUACCUAAUCAGAAAGCCACGGCUAACUACGUGCCAGCAGCCGCGGUAAUACGUAGGUGGCAAGCGUUAUCCGGAAUUAUUGGGCGUAAAGCGCGCGUAGCGGUUUUUUAGUCUGAUGUGAAAGCCCACGGCUCAACCGUGGAGGGUCAUUGGAAACUGGAAAACUUGAGUGCAGAAGAGGAAAGUGGAAUUCCAUGUGUAGCGGUGAAAUGCGCAGAGAUAUGGAGGAACACCAGUGGCGAAGGCGACUUUCUGGUCUGUAACUGACGCUGAUGCGCGAAAGCGUGGGGAUCAAACAGGGUUAGAUACCCUGGUAGUCCACGCCGUAAACGAUGAGUGCUAAGUGUUAGGGGGUUUCCGCCCCUUAGUGCUGCAGCUAACGCAUUAAGCACUCCGCCUGGGGAGUACGACCGCAAGGUUGAAACUCAAAGGAAUUGACGGGGACCCGCACAAGCGGUGGAGCAUGUGGUUUAAUUCGAAGCAACGCGAAGAACCUUACCAAAUCUUGACAUCCUUUGACAACUCUAGAGAUAGAGCUUUCCCCUUCGGGGGACAAAGUGACAGGUGGUGCAUGGUUGUCGUCAGCACGUGUCGUGAGAUGUUGGGUUAAGUCCCGCAACGAGCGCAACCCUUAAGCUUAGUUGCCAUCAUUAAGUUGGGCACUCUAAGUUGACUGCCGGUGACAAACCGGAGGAAGGUGGGGAUGACGUCAAAUCAUCAUGCCCCUUAUGAUUUGGGCUACACACGUGCUACAAUGGACAAUACAAAGGGCAGCGAAACCGCGAGGUCAAGCAAAUCCCAUAAAGUUGUUCUCAGUUCGGAUUGUAGUCUGCAACUCGACUACAUGAAGCUGGAAUCGCUAGUAAUCGUAGAUCAGCAUGCUACGGUGAAUACGUUCCCGGGUCU
rnacentral:rRNA from 1 species